AUUGAACGCUGGCGGCAUGCCUUACACAUGCAAGUCGAACGGUAACAGGUCUUCGGAUGCUGACGAGUGGCGAACGGGUGAGUAAUACAUCGGAACGUGCCUAGUAGUGGGGGAUAACUACUCGAAAGAGUGGCUAAUACCGCAUGAGAUCUACGGAUGAAAGCAGGGGAUCGCAAGACCUUGUGCUACUAGAGCGGCCGAUGGCAGAUUAGGUAGUUGGUGGGAUAAAAGCUGACCAAGCCGACGAUCUGUAGCUGGGCUGAGAGGACGAUCAGCCACACGGGGACUGAGACACGGCCCAGACUCCUACGGGAGGCAGCAGUGGGGAAUUUUGGACAAUGGGCGAAAGCCUGAUCCAGCAAUGCCGCGUGCAGGAUGAAGGCCUUCGGGUUGUAAACUGCUUUUGUACGGAACGAAAAGCCCCGGGUUAAUACCCUGGGGUCAUGACGGUACCGUAAGAAUAAGCACCGGCUAACUACGUGCCAGCCGCCGCGGUAA
rnacentral:rRNA from 1 species